AAUUUUAUUUUUCUAAAAUUGAUCAUAUACAUUAAAAUCUGUGUUUUCUUCUCUAUCAUUUGAUAUGCAUUUUGUUUAAUAAUUUUAAAUUUUAUAUUAUUGAGCACUGUACAGAUAUAGACCACUUUACAGAUAUUAUUAUGCAUUUCUUUUUUUUCUCUCUUUCAAGUUAGAUUUUUCUGCUCUUCAAUCAAUAAUUUAGUCGAUGGUUGAUUUUGAUCUAAAGAUUAAUAGGACUGCUAAUUCAGAAUUUUGUGGUUGGCUUCGAAUCAUUUACAUACUAACUGGCUACGUUUGGGCUUAAAUUUUAUGUGAUGUUUAUCACUGCUAGUAAUAUCCUUGUUUAUAUUCGAUUAGUGUUAUUUUGUGUUUAACCGCAAACCUCUCAUCUCACAACCACAAAUCAUGGGAAAUAAAUAAGCAUACAGUAUUAACUAGUCUCUAAACCAAUUGAAUAAAAAGAAUAAAAAAACUAUAUUGUAGAAAUACCAGAAACAAAAAAGAACACAAAGACAAAGAGUAAUUUUUGUAUUUAUCUGUACAGUUGUUUAUUCAUUUAUAUUAAUUUAUAUCUAUAUAUUUAAAAAGCUUAUAUCUGUACAGUGAUUUAUUUCUGUACAAAUCUGUACACCACUGUGCAGAUACAUCUGUAUAAUGGUGUACAGAUAUUACUAUGCAUUUCUUUUUUUCUCUCACAACCACUAUACAGAUAUUACUAUGGUGUGCAGAUAUUACUAUGGUGUACAGAUAUUACUAUGCAUUUCCUCUCACAACCACAAAUCAUGGGAAAUAAAGAAGCAUACAAUAUUAUCUAGUCUCUAAACCAAUUGAAUAAAGAGAAUAAGAAAACUAUAUUGUUCAAAUACCAUUAAAAAAAAA
rnacentral:sRNA from 1 species